GAUGAACGCUGGCGGCGUGCCUAAUACAUGCCAGUCGAGCGAACAGACGAGAGUGUUUCCGCUCUCUGAUGUUAGCGGCGGACGGGUGAGAAACGCGUGGAUAACCUACCUAUAAGUCGGGGAUCACUUGGGGAAACCAGAGCUAAUACGGGAUAAUAUUUAGCUUCGCGUGCAGCAAUUGUGAAAGACGUUUCUGCUGUCGCUUAUAGAUGGACCCGCGGUGUAUUAGCUAGUUGGAGAGGGAACGGCUCACCAAGGCCACGAUACGUAGCCGACCUGAGAGGGUGAUCGGCCACACUGGGACUGAGACACGGCCCAGACUCCUACGGGAGGCAGCAGUAGGGAAUCUUCCGCAAUGGGCGAAAGCCUGACGGAGCAAUGCCGCGUGAGUGAAGAAGGUCUUCGGAUCGUAAAACUCUGUUGUAAGGGAAGAACAAGUACGUUAGUAACUGAGCGUGCCUUGACGGUACCUUACCAGAAAGCCACGGCUAACUACGUG
rnacentral:rRNA from 1 species